GAGUUUGAUCAUGGCUCAGAUUGAACGCUGGCGGCAUGCCUUACACAUGCAAGUCGAACGGCAGCACGGGAGCUUGCUCCUGGGUGGCGAGUGGCGAACGGGUGAGUAAUGCAUCGGAACGUAUCCUGGAGUGGGGGAUAACGUAGCGAAAGUUACGCUAAUACCGCAUAUUCUGUGAGCAGGAAAGCGGGGGACCUUCGGGCCUCGCGCUCUUGGAGCGGCCGAUGUCGGAUUAGCUAGUUGGUGAGGUAAAGGCUCACCAAGGCGACGAUCCGUAGCAGGUCUGAGAGGAUGAUCUGCCACACUGGAACUGAGACACGGUCCAGACUCCGUACGGGAGGCAGCAGUGGGGAAUUUGGACAAGUGGGGCAACCCUGACUCCAGCCAUGCGCGUGAGUGAAGAA
rnacentral:rRNA from 1 species